UACGUAGGGGGCAAGCGUUGUCCGGAAUCAUUGGGCGUAAAGAGCUUGUAGGCGGUUUUGUCGCGUCUGCCUGUGAAAAAUCCGAGGCUCAACCUCGGACUUGCAGUGGGUACGGGCAGACUAGAGUGUGGUAGGGGAGACUGGAAUUCCUGGUGUAGCGGUGGAAUGCGCAGAUAUCAGGAGGAACACCCGAUGGCGAAAGGCAGGUCU
rnacentral:rRNA from 1 species